rnacentral:misc_RNA from 1 species
CACCCCUCAAGCUCCGGCUUGGUGUUGGGCCCACGCCAUCGUCUAGGUGGCGGGCCUCAAAAUCAGUGGCGACGCCCUUCGGCUUCAAGCGUAGUAAUCUUUUCUCGCUUGGAAGGUCCGGUAGGAGUCUGUUCCGCCAUAACUGGGAAUGCGAGUUCCCUUCUCCUAUA